AAAAAGAUACAUGUGGUUGAAUACUAAAACCAUCAAAAUGACAAUUAAAUUAAAAAUCAAAAGCACUUUUAACUAUUCAACUUCUAUUCUCCUACAGACAAGUGGACUCAAGAGUCAACCAAGAAAAACAAUUCUAACCAGAAGAGACAAAAUUUUAAAAAUAAACAGUUAAAUUUAGCAGAGUCCAAAGAGACAAUGAAAAUAACACAGAAUUGAACGACUGAUUAUAACAUUAAGAAUCUCUAAGAGUAUUCAAGUUGACUGAGAACCAGUUGCAUUGAAGACUAAAAUCCUACAAAGGAGGCGGGUAGAUCAACCCAAGAUGCACCACGGACUCCAGUGACCACCAUCAUUUCAGGUUUCAAAGCAUCAUGUGCAAACCAAUAGCCCAGUUGGGGAAAGCCCAUGGAGCAAAUUCUGCCUCCCACCAGUUUCCACCUCUGCACCAGGGAUGGGUCCACAUGUCUCUGCAUGAAACGGAGAGGGAAAGCUAUGGCUUAGGGGGCAAGAGACCCAAGGACAUCCGGACAGUCACUCACCAACCAGGUAAACAGAUUUCCUCCAAUCUGAAAGGCAACAUAGGAAACAAGUGAGCUAAGAACCAGAAUGUCUCCUACAAAUGUGACACAGAAACUUCUGGGAAAAGGACACAACAUACCAAGAUCUGCUUGGAGUUCAUCUGAAAAAAAGUGAAAAAUACACAUAAACUCCCAUCACUAAGAGCAUCAAAGACUGCACCUGGAAAACCCGCAAGAGCAUAUAUAUGUCUCCUUGAAUAUCUAACUCCAGACCCCUCGAGCCUCCACAGCCCCACCUGUCCUCUCUGGUCCUCCUCAACACCCUGCUCCUGGCCAAGGGCCUACUGUCUGCUUCUCCUCUGCACCAGCUUCCACACUUGUCUGCCUUGGCCCUGUCCUGCCUUACCUCUGGCCUUCAGUGCCUCCUCCUUUAUCUGCUGGAUCUCCUCCUUGUCUCUGUGCAAUUUCUUCCAUUCCUGUGUCUCCUGGAGCUUUGCAGUAUGUUCUCUCAUGAUGUAAAAUGCAGCCCCAAGGAUUGGGAGCAUCAGAACAGUCAGGAUCACCAUGAAAACUGGCUUCCAGGGAGAACUCUGAGGGAAGAAAGGUUCUGUGCCCCGCCAGACACCCCAUCAGGGCACUGCUCUGACAGCCCAGCCCAGCACACACAGGGACCCCCAAUCAGACCAUCCCACCCUUGUAGGAGUGGGAAGUAAUACUGACCUGGGAUGAAAAUGGCCAUUGCCUUCUCCUGGCCCAGGAUGGGGUUGAGGACUGAGCAGGUCACAUUCCCUGAAGAGCUGUCCCUCACCACAAGAGUGGUCUCUAUGGUGAACAGCCCUUCACCGUCUUGGGCUUGGGUCUCAGAGAACAUCAGGAACUUCUCUCCACUGAGAGCUCUCCACUGCACUUGGGGCUUUGGGAACCACCCCGAGGCCAUGCACACAACUCGGACCCCGUCCUCCUCUGGCCCUGUGAUGUGCACUUGAGGGGCAGAGCCCACACCUAAAGAGAGAAGCUGGAGAGCACAAGGAGGCCACCCAGAGCUCAGGGAUUCCAGCAGAACCUUCCUGUACACAAUACCAUCCACAGCACUGAGUUUUGGGGGCUCCUUGGGGGAGUGGUCCCUACAAGGAUUAAUGUAAGGGGUCCUGCCAUGGAGAACAGAAGGAAGGAACAUGGGGACCUGUGGCAGGCACAGAGAGCAGGCUCUUCUCCCCAACCAUGAGGGUGGGAAUUCCAUCACCCAGAGGGAUAGAAGGAGAAAUUUGGUUCCAGGAUCAUUCCUUCUCUGCUCUUCUCAACUCACACACUCUCCAGGGCAUCUGCAGGCAACCCCACUGCCACUUGGUCAUCACUUCCACCAACUACAUACCUCCUCAUCUCACUCCCUAAUAUCUACAUCUCUGGUUUAGCUGUGCCAGGAUUCCUCACAGAUGCUUCAGACUCAAAUCCUGAGCUAAUUCAUGUUUGGCCCCAACUUUGAUAGGAUAAUGAUGAAAAUACCCCCAAUCUUUCAGCCUUCUUUACAUCCAGCCAGCCCUCUGCCACCUCUUGUGGCCUUCACACUCUGCUUCUGGGCUCCAUCCUGUGACUUGACUCAGUCCCUGAAAGCUCAGGGAAUGUGACUCUAGCAGAGAUUGGAAACUGCUUCCGCCAUUGCCUUGUCCUCUGCCACAGGACAGACAUCUUCAGGCUAGCACAGCCUUUCCAGCUGAAGCUGUCCUAGAUCAAUCAAUAGCCACCUGGACAACACCAGCUGAGCAAACCCAGCCAAGGUCCACUGUCAGGACAAAAUAUAUUAAAAUAAGAGGCGUAUUGUCCCUGUUGAAAAUAGGGAAAGAGAGCCCCCUCCCAGCCUUUUCUUAUAGCAUUUACUUGAGGAAACUUGUGGUUCUGGGUGAUUUCUCUCCUCUUUGAAAUGUAUAUAAGUACUUUAAAAAUAAUAAUAAUUGGGCCUUUUGCCAGCUCUGUGAUCCAAGAAUGUGUUUCUCAAGGACCUGGGAGCCCUCGCUUUGAACUGCUCACACCAAGGAAGACAGCAGCCCUCUCUCCCCCUUCUCUGCCAGGGUAGGAACCUAACCUCAGUGUACACCACGAUCCACAUGUAACAUCACCGCCUGUCAUCAUGAUGGGAGAAUUGGUUAAAAAAAAAAAAAAA